GGCCAAUUAGCUCAGUUGGUUAGAGUGUGGUGCUGGUAGUGCUAAGGCCACAGGUUCGAUCCCCAUACAGGCCA
rnacentral:tRNA from 1 species